AUAUUGCAUGAUUGCCUCUAUUCUCCAUGUGGUGCGCAUCAAGACUUUUUGGUGAAAAUGAUGCUUGCUAUUCCACUUUGUCCCUGACUCUUGCUUUGAACGACAUAAGAAUGAGAAGUAUCUAGGAACAAACGACCAAGUAUUAAAGUACAAGGCUUCAACAAUGUUGGUAAAGGAGAAAGCAAUAAAAAGCUCUCCUGGUCUAUGGGGCUUUAAUGGUAGAGGGCAAGUGAAGUGAGGGCUUUAGUUAAAAAUAAGGCUCGACGAAUAAAUAAAUGCCAACAUAUAUGUAAUGCAAGAAGAAGUAACAACUUCACUCAUAAUGAUUUUCUUAACAAUUAAUGUGUAUUUGCAAAUCACAUUCAUUAUUUAGUACCAGCCUAUUCAGGAUAGAUAUUAUGGGCAAUGAGACACACAUGCCUUAGUGCCUUGCCUACAGUGAAGCACAACCUAUGUGAGGCGAAGCGCUUAUCCCAAACUUAUCUGAGCUUCAGGUCUCAAGCGCAUUUCAAAUGACCCUCUGACAAUACUGGCAUUCCAGUGGAAUAGAAUUUAGAUUAUCAUUCUUUGAAAAGAAAUAAUUUAAUGAUGUUGUGAGGAAAUACUAUCAUACAAGUAGUAUAGGAAAAAGACAGACAAUUUACGCAUGCUAAUUGGAUGCCAUCUAAUCAUAUGGACUAAUAUGCUCAUUGUGUAUGCCCCAAAUAUUCACCAAAAACAAUAGAUAGGUCCUUAAUUACGGAAAUUCAAUUUACCACUCCCUCAAUGCAAGUACUUGAACUAUGAAUUUCUAUCAAUAUCGGGAUAGACCGAGGUCUAGCAUCGUACACGGUCGGAGUGAGACUGGGGAGUUCUCCUGGACGGAUGGCAACUUAUGUGGUGGUCGGCCUUCCUACCAGAAUGCCUUCUUGGUCGAAGAGCUUCCUUUUUACUAAUAAGGAUGCUGGAAGGAGAAAAACUCAUAAAUUAACUUGUUUUUGCUCAAUUGCUUUGAUGAUGGUUGUUUAGUUAGGCUCAUUUCUCAUUCUUAUUGUCUCGUUUCUUUUGGUGUAUUUGUUGAGUUCUUUUGGAGUUCUAGUAUCCAAGGAAAAGGUAAUUACAUGGGGCACACGUGUUGACAAUAUAAUUCGCCAAUGUCAAAGCCUCUUGGUUGUUGAUGACAUUAUUAAUUAGAGGUAAAAGAUACACAAAAAGAUUACUAAGAUGAUGAAUUUACCUUACACCGUCAAGUAGAAAUGUGAAAGGAAAAAGACAUUGAUUUGCUUAAGCAAUCUGUAUGAUGUGGAUGAAAAGUUGUAUAGAGCAGCAGGUUAUAGUUGCUGCUGUUUUGUGGCAUAGCACUAAUAUUGUCAAAGGCGGGCUUAAGCCUGAAGCUAGGGUCAAAACAUGUUGAGCGCUUCGCCUCGUAUUGUGGACGCUUUAGUGUCGCAUAAGUGCGCUUUAGUGUCGCAUCAAGGCUCUAAGGCAUACUUUUCCUUGCCAAUGAGCGUAAUCUUGAAGAGGCGACGUUAAACAAUUGAUAUUUCACUUUAUCAUAAUUUUUUUAAUAAUUUCUUUGUCCAUAUAUUUGUUAUUCAUGCUUCUAAUUAUUAGUUCUGGACUACAUAUACGUAUGUUUACUUUCUCUCAAGUUGUGCUUUUUUUCAUUAGAGCCCACACUUUAUUUGGUGCUUUGCGCUUAAGUCCAAAUGGACUUUAGAGUUUUUUUGCGCUUUUCGCCUUUUAUAACCCUGCAUUGCGCUUGUCUCUUUAUAGAUAUUAUCGUUUGACACGCUUGGGCUUGCAUUGUUUCCAAAAAGUAGGUGGCCUUGGAAGUUUUCUUUUGGAUGAGACUCGAGUAAAAAACUUUAUGUUAUCAAAACAGACCAGUCUUAGGUGUAUUUGAUUUAUGUUCAUUCAUUUUUGGCUAGCCAGUGUAGAAAGUCUUGACUUACAUUACCCUCUCUACAACAACAACAACAACUACCCAGUAUAGUCCCACAAAGUGGGGUCUUUACAUUACCCUCUCUAAAGCAGGGAAUGAUAAUGAUUUUUAUUAUCAAACAUUCAACUAGGAAACUGAAAUAGGCAAUAGUUCUGAACUAUCUGUUGGUUUUGAGGUGUAUGCCCUGCACAUUGGUGACUGCAAUAAAGCGCCAAAUAAUUUUGUUUUCUGAAGCGCUCAACCUUUUAUGCACGUAGCAAAAGGGUUGAAGUGCACUGUAGGCCAACCUUUAUGUAGACUGAAUUAUUAUUUGCUCAUUAAAAUGAUCUUAAUAUGAAUUAGCUAAUAAAAAAGUAUCUGACCAUAAAUUAAUCAUAUUUGCUUAAUUGGUUUGAGGAUGACGGAUUAAUUUGGCUUCAUUUCUCGUUUUUGCUCUCUCUUUAUUUUGGUGCAUUUGUUGAAUUGUUUGGGGGAACUAGUAUCCUGAUGUCACAGGGCACAUUCGUUGUCAUAAUUGGCCAAUCUCUAAUUCUCUUGGUUGUAGAACUUUCAAGAUAUUAAUGACAUUAGUAGUGGAAUGUAAAAGAUACACAAAAGCAAUACUAAGGUGAUGAAUUUACCUAUGAUCGUUAGGAGUAGAAUUGUGAAUAAAGCAUGCGGAGACUUGAUUUGCUAAGAAACCUGUAUUAUGUGGAUGAAAAUUUUAAGCAUCAGGUUAUAUUCGUUGCCGUUUUGACACGUUGUGAUUGUGUCUCUUUGUAGAUAAUUAUCAUUAGGGGUGCUUAAACUUGCAUCAUUUCCUAAGAAUGGUGUCCUCGAAAGUCUUUUUUCGGGUAUGACUCGAGUAAAAAAGUGAUGAAACC
rnacentral:lncRNA from 1 species